AAAUUCCUUGUCGGGUAAGUUCCGACCUGCACGAAUGGCGUAAUGAUGGCCAGGCUGUCUCCACCCGAGACUCAGUGAAAUUGAACUCGCUGUGAAGAUGCAGUGUACCCGCGGCAAGACGGAAAGACCCCGUGAACCUUUACUAUAGCUUGACACUGAACAUUGAGCCUUGAUGUGUAGGAUAGGUGGGAGGCUUUGAAGUGUGGACGCCAGUCUGCAUGGAGCCGACCUUGAAAUACCACCCUUUAAUGUUUGAUGUUCUAACGUGGACCCGUGAUCCGGGUUGCGGACAGUGUCUGGUGGGUAGUUUGACUGGGGCGGUCUCCUCCUAAAGAGUAACGGAGGAGCACGAAGGUUGGCUAAUCCUGGUCGGACAUCAGGAGGUUAGUGCAAUGGCAUAAGCCAGCUUGACUGCGAGCGUGACGGCGCGAGCAGGUGCGAAAGCAGGUCAUAGUGAUCCGGUGGUUCUGAAUGGAAGGGCCAUCGCUCAACGGAUAAAAGGUACUCCGGGGAUAACAGGCUGAUACCGCCCAAGAGUUCAUAUCGACGGCGGUGUUUGGCACCUCGAUGUCGGCUCAUCACAUCCUGGGGCUGAAGUAGGUCCCAAGGGUAUGGCUGUUCGCCAUUUAAAGUGGUACGCGAGCUGGGUUUAGAACGUCGUGAGACAGUUCGGUCCCUAUCUGCCGUGGGCGCUGGAGAACUGAGGGGGGCUGCUCCUAGUACGAGAGGACCGGAGUGGACGCAUCACUGGUGUUCGGGUUGUCAUGCCAAUGGCACUGCCCGGUAGCUAAAUGCGGAAGAGAUAAGUGCUGAAAGCAUCUAAGCACGAAACUUGCCCCGAGAUGAGUUCUCCCUGAGACUUAGAGUCUCCUGAAGGAACGUUGAAGACGACGACGUUGAUAGGCCGGGUGUGUAAGCGCAGCGAUGCGUUGAGCUAACCGGUACUAAUGAACCGUGAGGCUUAACCUUACA
rnacentral:rRNA from 1 species